GCGACCUCGUUGCCGCAGGGCGCGGUAUGGCGGGGGGGGAAAGCGUUGUGCGGAAUUACGGGGCGUAAAGGGCGCGUAGGUGGCCAACUAAGUCAGACGUGAAAUCCCUCGGCUUAACCGUGGAACUGCGUCUGAUACUGGAUGGCUUGAGUUUGGGAGAGGGACGCGGAAUUCCAGGUGUAGCGGUGAAAUGCGUAGAUAUCUGGAGGAACACCGGUGGCGAAGGCGGCGUCCUGGACCAACACUGACACUGAUGAGCGAAAGCCAGGGGAGCAAACGGGAUUAGAUACCCCGGUAGUC
rnacentral:rRNA from 1 species